UCAACCCCAAACACAUUUCCUGGAGGAAGAGAAGCCAUGUACCAGUGCAAACUGGACACGACUGAGGCUGGGGGUGAUGAAAGACUCACGUUUUUAGAGGAAAUCCACCUUUUAGAGUCUAUUAGAAGAAAUGUGCAAAGAGUGAGGAACCAAGGAAAGUGAAGCCAGACAGAUGUCUGUAAGCCAUGUCCAAGGUGCUCAGGCUCAGUAACAAGGCCCAGGAGGAAGGGACCACGAGGUGCCUUAGAAGAGAAGACGGCCCACUGGUUCCAGGUCCACACAGCGGGGCCUAAGAAGGCAGCACUCUGACGUUGGUGAGGCGAUGGCCGUGGAUGAGGUGUGGGUGUGACGAGAGAGAAGGGAGAGGAGGAAACUCAUGCCCAAUCCAGCUCUGUUCCCGUCUCCUGCCUUCAUAUAGCCAGUGCCUGAGCUGACGUUUCCUCCAAGAACUUUCUGCUGAAGGACGUGCGGCUGUGGACGGGCUGUGACGCCGACACUCGGUGCAGCCUCCAUGUCCCUGUCACUGCACGUGGGGGGAUGGCUUGUAAAACGCACACCGGAGGGGAGAGGAAGUAGAUUUCGAAUCACUCUUGUUCUCUGGUGCUGUACAAAUCCUGACCCCCGUCCUAACCUGAUUUCCCAGCCACACAGAUGUGGCGGUGAGCCACUGCUGAGCUCAGUGUCACCACUCCGAUGUCCCUAUAUUUUAAAGAGCCCUGAGCUCGGAAUGGGGUAUAUAAAGGAAAGGGGAGCCCAGCCCCAGUCUGAGGGAACUAACUUCAAGGACAAUACAGAAUCAUCUCAGAUCAAAGAGAAUGUAGAGUGUGCCGUGCAGACCCCACUCUGAGGCUGGUGUGCACCCUUAGGGCAGGCGAGGACAGAUGCCACUGUCCUAAAACGGAAGCACGUCUUAGGCCAAGAAUA